GGUUAUCCUGGUUAGGCCCAUAUAUAAGAGACUGUAAGCUUUUUUGUAAUAGUAAUAUUUAUUUCUUUUCUUUCUCAGGAACACAAUUAGACAAGCACUAAUCUGGGAGGAGCAAGAACUUAUAUACAGAGAAGGCGGGGCUAAUGGCUCGUUCUGGGCAUGCUCAGUCCUCAUUUUUCUCCAGCAGUCGAUGAGGGAGGUUCCUGUGUCUGCAGCUCCUGGGGUGAAGUCCCAGAUGGCCUUCUGUUGCUCUGCUUUGUUUCCGGAGGGCCUCUGGUGACUGAAGAAUGCCUGGGGUGCUGCUCUGCUCAUCGGGGAGUCUUCUCUGAGGUCGUCAGUAAGUGGAGCUUGAGGCGGGCCGCCAUUGCCAAUGGAGCCGGGUUGUUCAGGGAGCUGCUCUUCAGUAGGAACACAAUUAGACAAGCACUAAUCUGGGAGGAGCAAGAACUUAUAUACAGAGAAGGCGGGGCUAAUGGUAAGUACUAACCAAUGGUAAGUGACACAAUGACAUCACACAAUGACAUAUAAACAAGCACACAUAUUUACAGAUAUCAGGUUAGGUAUUUUC